AGAGUUUGAUCCUGGCUCAGAUUGAACGCUGGCGGCAUGCUUUACACAUGCAAGUCGAACGGCAGCACGGGGGCAACCCUGGUGGCGAGUGGCGAACGGGUGAGGAAUACAUCGGAACGUGUCUUUAAGUGGGGGAUAACGCAUCGAAAGAUGUGCUAAUACCGCAUAAUCUCUGAGGAGAAAAGCAGGGGAUCGUAAGACCUUGUGCUUUUGGAGCGGCCGAUGCCUGAUUAGCUAGUUGGUGAGGUAAAGGCUUACCAAGGCUUCGAUCAGUAGCUGGUCUGAGAGGACGACCAGCCACACUGGGACUGAGACACGGCCCAGACUCCUACGGGAGGCAGCAGUGGGGAAUUUUGGACAAUGGGGGAAACCCUGAUCCAGCCAUGCCGCGUGAGUGAAGAAGGCCUUCGGGUUGUAAAGCUCUUUCAGCUGGAACGAAACGGUUACGGUUAAUACCCGUGAUUAAUGACGGUACCGGCAGAAGAAGCACCGGCUAACUACGUGCCAGCAGCCGCGGUAAUACGUAGGGUGCGAGCGUUAAUCGGAAUUACUGGGCGUAAAGGGUCCGCAGGUUGUUUUGUAAGUCAGAUGUGAAAGCCCCGGGCUUAACCUGGGAACUGCGUCUGAAACUACAAGGCUAGAGUAUGGCAGAGGGGGGUGGAAUUCCGCGUGUAGCAGUGAAAUGCGUAGAGAUGUGGAGGAACACCGAUGGCGAAGGCAGCCCCCUGGGUCAAUACUGACGCUCAGGGACGAAAGCAUGGGGAGCAAACAGGAUUAGAUACCCUGGUAGUCCAUGCCCUAAACGAUGUCAACUAGUUGUCGGGCCUUAACGGGCUUGGUAACGUAGCUAACGCGUGAAGUUGACCGCCUGGGGAGUACGAUCGCAAGAUUAAAACUCAAAGGAAUUGACGGGGACCCGCACAAGCGGUGGAUUAUGUGGAUUAAUUCGAUGCAACGCGAAAAACCUUACCUACCCUUGACAUGUAUUGAACUCCGCAGAAAAGCGGAGGUGCCCGAAAGGGAGCAAUAACACAGGUGCUGCAUGGCUGUCGUCAGCUCGUGUCGUGAGAUGUUGG
rnacentral:rRNA from 1 species